UACGAAGGGGGCUAGCGUUGCUCGGAAUUACUGGGCGUAAAGCGCACGUAGGUGGCUUCUUAAGUCAGGGGUGAAAUCCUGGAGCUCAACUCCAGAACUGCCUUUGAUACUGAAGAUCUUGAGUUCGGGAGAGGUGAGUGGAACUGCGAGUGUAGAGGUGAAAUUCGUAGAUAUUCGCAAGAACACCAGUGGCGAAGGCGGCUCACUGGCCCGAUACUGACGCUGAGGCACGAAAGCGUGGGGAGCAAACAGG
rnacentral:rRNA from 1 species